rnacentral:rRNA from 1 species
GGGCGGCAGGCUACACAUGCAGUCGAGCGGUAGCACAGAGAGCUUGCUCUCGGGUGACGAGCGGCGGACGGGUGAGUAAUGUCUGGGAAACUGCCUGAUGGAGGGGGAUAACUACUGGAAACGGUAGCUAAUACCGCAUAACGUCGCAAGACCAAAGUGGGGGACCUUCGGGCCUCAUGCCAUCAGAUGUGCCCAGAUGGGAUUAGCUAGUAGGUGGGGUAACGGCUCACCUAGGCGACGAUCCCUAGCUGGUCUGAGAGGAUGACCAGCCACACUGGAACUGAGACACGGUCCAGACUCCUACGGGAGGCAGCAGUGGGGAAUAUUGCACAAUGGGCGCAAGCCUGAUGCAGCCAUGCCGCGUGUGUGAAGAAGGCCUUCGGGUUGUAAAGCACUUUCAGCGGGGAGGAAGGCGAUAAGGUUAAUAACCUUGUCGAUUGACGUUACCCGCAGAAGAAGCACCGGCUAACUCCGUGCCAGCAGCCGCGGUAAUACGGAGGGUGCAAGCGUUAAUCGGAAUUACUGGGCGUAAAGCGCACGCAGGCGGUCUGUCAAGUCGGAUGUGAAAUCCCCGGGCUCAACCUGGGAACUGCAUUCGAAACUGGCAGGCUAGAGUCUUGUAGAGGGGGGUAGAAUUCCAGGUGUAGCGGUGAAAUGCGUAGAGAUCUGGAGGAAUACCGGUGGCGAAGGCGGCCCCCUGGACAAAGACUGACGCUCAGGUGCGAAAGCGUGGGGAGCAAACAGGAUUAGAUACCCUGGUAGUCCACGCCGUAAACGAUGUCGAUUUGGAGGUUGUGCCCUUGAGGCGUGGCUUCCGGAGCUAACGCGUUAAAUCGACCGCCUGGGGAGUACGGCCGCAAGGUUAAAACUCAAAUGAAUUGACGGGGGCCCGCACAAGCGGUGGAGCAUGUGGUUUAAUUCGAUGCAACGCGAAGAACCUUACCUGGUCUUGACAUCCACAGAACUUUCCAGAGAUGGAUUGGUGCCUUCGGGAACUGUGAGACAGGUGCUGCAUGGCUGUCGUCAGCUCGUGUUGUGAAAUGUUGGGUUAAGUCCCGCAACGAGCGCAACCCUUAUCCUUUGUUGCCAGCGGUUCGGCCGGGAACUCAAAGGAGACUGCCAGUGAUAAACUGGAGGAAGGUGGGGAUGACGUCAAGUCAUCAUGGCCCUUACGACCAGGGCUACACACGUGCUACAAUGGCAUAUACAAAGAGAAGCGACCUCGCGAGAGCAAGCGGACCUCAUAAAGUAUGUCGUAGUCCGGAUUGGAGUCUGCAACUCGACUCCAUGAAGUCGGAAUCGCUAGUAAUCGUAGAUCAGAAUGCUACGGUGAAUACGUUCCCGGGCCUUGUACACACCGCCCGUCACACCAUGGGAGUGGGUUGCAAAAGAAGUAGGUAGCUUAACCUUCGGAGGCGCUACACUUGG